AUGAAAGAUAUUUUUCUGUGCAGGAGUGUAGGUGCAGAGAGGUUCCUAUCUCAUCAACAUGUAGGAGCAGAGAGGUUCCUGUCUCAUCAACAUGUAGGUGCAGAGAGGUUCCUAUCUCAUCAACAUGUAGGAGCAGAGAGGUUCCUGUCUCAUCAACAUGUAGGUGCAGAGAGGUUCCUAUCUCAUCAACAUGUAGGAGCAGAGAGGUUCCUGUCUCAUCAACAUGUAGGUGCAGAGAGGUUCCUGUCUCAUCAACAUGUAGGUGCAGAGAGGUUCCUGUCUCAUCAACAUGUAGGUGCAGAGAGGUUCCUAUCUCAUCAACAUGUAGGUGCAGAGAGGUUCCUAUCUCAUCAACAUGUAGGAGCAGAGAGGUUCCUGUCUCAUCAACAUGUAGGUGCAGAGAGGUUCCUAUCUCAUCAACAUGUAGGAGCAGAGAGGUUCCUGUCUCAUCAACAUGUAGGUGCAGAGAGGUUCCUGUCUCAUCAACAUGUAGGUGCAGAGAGGUUCCUAUCUCAUCAACAUGUAGGAGCAGAGAGGUUCCUGUCUCAUCAACAUGUAGGAGCAGAGAGGUUCCUGUCUCAUCAACAUGUAGGAGCAGAGAGGUUCCUGUCUCAUCAACAUGUAGGAGCAGAGAGGUUCCUGUCUCAUCAACAUGUAGGAGCAGAGAGGUUCCUGUCUCAUCAACAUGUAGGAGCAGAGAGGUUCCUGUCUCAUCAACAUGUAGCAGCAGAGGUUCCUGUCUCAUUAACAUAUAGGAGCAGAGAGGUCCGUGUUUCCUCAGAAGGACCUCUCAUCAACAUGAUUCAAUGGUUUUUAUAAGCUGGUUGUUGCUACAUGAUCCAACAGAUCUCCUUUAGCCCUUAUAUAUAUAUAUAUAUAUAUAUAUAUAUAGACACUACACCACACAAACAAGGGCAGACAUAUGUGUGUGUAUACACAUGUUUUAGUUGUUGUCCUAGCACUACAUAGCCGAUUCAAAUAACCAACUCAUCGUCAAGCUUUGAUUAUUUCAGUCAGCUGUGUCGUGCUAGGACAACAACCACUGUGUACCCAAGAGGGGCCCCGGGACCGAGUUUGAGAAACCUGCUGUACAGCAAAACACACUGGAGAUGAAAACAGCUGACCCUGGCUGAUUAAACCCAUAGAAUAACAUGUAGACCAGCUAUGACCUCUAGGACCCUGGAGCUCCAAGCCAGCGCCACUGUUCUCCUCUCAUCAGGGUCUAGACCUGGGACACCAGGUGGGUGAUUCUCCUCUCAUCAGGGACUGGUUUAGACCAGGGACACCAGGUGGGUGAUUCUCCUCUCAUCAGGGUCUAGACCUGGGACACCAGGUGGGUGAUUCUCCUCUCAUCAGGGACUGGUUUAGACCAGGGACACCAGGUGGGUGAUUCUCCUCUCAUCAGGGUCUAGACCUGGGACACCAGGUGGGUGAUUCCCCUCUCAUCAGGGACUGGUUUAGACCAGGGACACCAGGUGGGUGAUUCUCCUCUAAUCAGGGUCUAGACCUGGGACACCAGGUGGGUGAUUCUCCUCUCAUCAGGGUCUAGACCUGGGACACCAGGUGGGUGAUUCCCCUCUCAUCAGGGCCUAAUUUAGACCUGGGACACCAGGUGGGUGAUUCUCCUCUCAUCAGGGUCUAGACCUGGGACACCAGGUGGGUGAUUCCCCUCUCAUCAGGGACUGGUUUAGACCAGGGACACCAGGUGGGUGAUUCUCCUCUAAUCAGGGACUAGUUUAGACCUGGGACACCAGGUGGGUGAUUCCCCUCUAAUCAGGGCCUAAUUUAGACCUGGGACACCAGGUGGGUGAUUCCCCUCUAAUCAGGGUCUAGACCUGGGACACCAGGUGGGUGAUUCCCCUCUAAUCAGGGUCUAGACCUGGGACACCAGGUGGGUGAUUCCCCUCUAAUCAGGGUCUAGACCUGGGACACCAGGUGGGUGAUUCCCCUCUAAUCAGGGUCUAGACCUGGGACACCAGGUGGGUGAUUCCCCUCUAAUCAGGGACUGGUUUAGACCUGGGACACCAGGUGGGUGAUUCCCCUCAUCAGGGACUGGUCUAGACCUGUAAUGAAUGAAGAGGUAGGAGAGCAGCAGGGCCAGAGCUGCUCUAAGGUGUCUAUGUAGUAAAUCACUGAGUCAGUUAUCCUGCUGUAAACACCUUUAUAUAGUCUGUCCAACGGCCGUUCAUCAGAUACAAUUCUAAAUCAACACCUGGAGUGUCCACACGUUCCAAAAUAAUUAAAAACACAGAAAACCAAAAGAGAAAAGAACAACCCAACUAAUUUAAAACCUCCUGGUU
ensembl:lncRNA